CCGGGAGAUGCGGCGGCGGCCGCGCGGCUGACUGCGACUCGGGAGCUCCGGGAGCGGCCCGCGCAGGUAAGUUUCUCCGCCGCCGCCCGGGGCCCGGGCUGGCCGCAGCGCACCGCCCCGGCGGCUGCCGGGCAGGAGGAGCCUCGGUUCCCCUCGGGCGGCUGAAGGAGGGGCUGAGCCUCAGGACCCCUAGGCCAGGCCGUGUUGAAAGCAGAUACCCCGAGGCCUCGCCCAGCCUGCGCUGGAGGGAAGAAGGCGCUGGAGAGAAAAGGCCCUGUGAGGACACAGCAAGAAGGCAACUAUCAGCAAGCCAGGAAGAAGGCCCUCACCAGAACUCAAUUCUGCUAGCACCCUGAUUUUGGACUUACAGUCUCAAGAACCGAGAGAAAUAAAAUUCUGUUGUUUAAACCAUCCAGUCUAUAGUACUUUGUUACAGCA
rnacentral:lncRNA from 1 species